UUUUCUUCCGGCCCAAGGUUGACUAAUACUAGUCUUUCUAGUUUCUGGCUGGUGUUGCUUUUUUUAAAUCAAAAUAUCUCUCAAAUCUUUUUAUAAUCUAUGAGCUUCUUCUGCCACUUAAACUUUUUUUUGGGGGGGUCAAGACAAAUUUUUUGGAGCAGUUUUAAUGGCACAGCAAAAUUUAGGGGAAGGGACAGAGUUCGUCGUAUUCAAACAUUUCUCCUUUCACUCACUGACUCAGUUGAGAUGGACGAGCAGACGGGCCGUUGCCAUGGCACUGGAUAGGCGCUCUGAUUGGCAGCAAGUGAGGACCAGGGAACAAGGCCGGGAUCUGAGGAAGAGUGUAAUGUGAGUCCAGAACGUGACUGAAGGUGGAGAGCUGGGAGAGUAAAGAGAGGGGGAAAGCAACUGGACGAGAAGGAAGUGGACAGAGACGUGCGCCUCCAGCCCGCGGUUCCCUUUUUCAUCAGCAGCAGGGCUCCAGGCUCCUGCUUUCUCUGUGGAGCCGCCGGGCCUGGCACUGCAGCCGGGACAACCUCUUGGCUGGACUUGCCCCAUCUGUGAACCAGGGAGAUUCAGACAGAGCCCGUCAGCUCACGGGCCCCGGGCCAGCCCACGUGCCCUGCGUGACUACUGAGCAUGGAGCGCUCUGCAGCAGAGAUGGACUCGACUGCAUUUCAACGAUAUUUAUGACAUAACCACCAUGUGCUGAGCGCCGCAGGAGGGAAGAAGGCACCCUGCUCCUGGGGGCUGGCGGCUCCUGUGGGUGAGCCUCUCUCUUGUUUGCCAGCCACCUCUGAGAAGUCCUCCCUGACCUCCCCUCGUCCUAAAAGUGGCUGGUACUUCUGGGCUGCCCUUUUACAGCCUCCUUCCUGUUGCGUUCUUGGCAUGCUGGCUGCUUCCCCCGACAUCAGUGGGGUCUGAGGGAGGGGCCGCAUGGAGACCCCCAUCAU
ensembl:lncRNA